AUGAUCCUGAUCAUGCUAAUUGCAACUACUGUGAUGCUAUAUUGGGUUGCAAAUCCGCAUCGGCAGGAUCCCAACUACAAGACUGAGUUAGAAAAAACUAGUCCAGAACCUAAGCUUGAUACUCCUGAUCAGCGGGGUCCUCCAACUCAAAGCGAUUGGGUGUAUGUUCGUGAGUUCAAACAAUUCCUCCAACACUUCUAUCUCCUCACUAAUAAGGUUUCUGGCACUAAGUACAUUACAACCAACACCUUCUUGGAAGAUAUUGCGGAUGUACAUUUUAUGUUGGGUGAAUGGAGUGAUCAUGUGAUUUGUGGUGAUGAUGAAAUAUUUAAAUGCAUGGCUACUAAGAUGAAAACCAAGUAUGAGAAGUACUGGGGUGAUCCUGAAAAGAUGAACAAGUAUAUAUUCAUUGCUGCCAUCCUUGAUCCAAGGACCAAGGAAUCUCAUUUCUUUAAAGACAUGAUUGAAGACACCUAUGACAGUAUAAUAGAAUUUCUUCAAGUAGGUAACCAGGUUGUAGUUGUAUUGGACAAGUACUAA
rnacentral:rRNA from 1 species